rnacentral:rRNA from 1 species
GCCUCUUGCCAUCGGAUGUGCCCAGAUGGGAUUAGCUUGUUGGUGGGGUAACGGCUCACCAAGGCGACGAUCCCUAGCUGGUCUGAGAGGAUGACCAGCCACACUGGAACUGAGACACGGUCCAGACUCCUACGGGAGGCAGCAGUGGGGAAUAUUGCACAAUGGGCGCAAGCCUGAUGCAGCCAUGCCGCGUGUAUGAAGAAGGCCUUCGGGUUGUAAAGUACUUUCAGCGGGGAGGAAGGGAGUAAAGUUAAUACCUUUGCUCAUUGACGUUACCCGCAGAAGAAGCACCGGCUAACUCCGUGCCAGCAGCCGCGGUAAUACGGAGGGUGCAAGCGUUAAUCGGAAUUACUGGGCGUAAAGCGCACGCAGGCGGUUUGUUAAGUCAGAUGUGAAAUCCCCGGGCUCAACCUGGGAACUGCAUCUGAUACUGGCAAGCUUGAGUCUCGUAGAGGGGGGUAGAAUUCCAGGUGUAGCGGUGAAAUGCGUAGAGAUCUGGAGGAAUACCGGUGGCGAAGGCGGCCCCCUGGACGAAGACUGACGCUCAGGUGCGAAAGCGUGGGGAGCAAACAGGAUU